GAUUUAUACAAAUAACAGAAAAUGUUAGAGGAUUCAGGUAAACUAAACAGUACAUUUCCCCAAUAAAAAAAUAAAUAAAAAAAUUCUCCCCUUUAAGAAUUAUAGGUUUUAAUUUAAAUGCAGUGGGGGUUAUCCAUGUAAACAACUUGCAGAAACUAUUGGAGACCCCUGCCUACAACAAACUUGUGAGCAAGUUCUUACCUCCUAGGAAAACCUAAUUCUAGUUAACCUUGGCCAAAAUGCAUUGAUCCACCAUGUAGAGACCAGACAGAUCAAAGCUUUCAAGUGUAGAUUAAAGGAAUUUUCAUUCGGCACACGAUUACAUUAUUCUUUGCUAAACUUUCCCUUGGCAUAGAGUCAGUCACUGUGUACCCAACUAUCGGAAGGGACAGGUCACCAUAGAACCUGGCCUUUCUGCUCGAAGGGAUUUUAC